UGUCGUGAGAUGUUCGGUUAAGUCCGCUAACGAGCGCAACCUCACUGUGUGUUAUAUGUGUCACACGGGACUGCCGGUUUUAAGCCGGAGGAAGGUGGGAUGACGUCAAGUCAGCAUGGCCUUUAUAUCCUGGGCUACACACACGCUACAAUGGUCGGUACAAUAGGUUGCCAAGCCGCGAGGCGGAGCCAAUCCACAAAGCCGGCCUCAGUUCAGAUUGUAGGCUGCAACUCGCCUGCAUGAAGAUGGAGUUGCUAGUAACCGCAGGUCAGCAAUACUGCGGUGAAUACGUUCCCGGGUCUU
rnacentral:rRNA from 1 species